rnacentral:rRNA from 1 species
GACGAACGCUGGCGGCGUGCUUAACACAUGCAAGUCGAGCGGAAAGGCCCCUUCGGGGGUACUCGAGCGGCGAACGGGUGAGUAACACGUGGGUAAUCAACCCCUGACAUCGGGAUACCCCGGGGAAACCCGGAUCAAUACCGGAUAAGGUGCGGAGGCGCAGGCCGUCGUACCAAAGGUAGCUUCGGCUUCCGGUCAGGGACGAGCCCGCGGCCCAUUAGCUUGUUGGUGGGGUAACGGCCCACCAAGGCGACGAUGGGUAGCUGGUCUGAGAGGACGAUCAGCCACACUGGGACUGAGACACGGCCCAGACUCCUACGGGAGGCAGCAGUGGGGAAUCUUGCGCAAUGGGCGGAAGCCUGACGCAGCAACGCCGCGUGCGGGAAGAAGGCCCUAGGGUCGUAAACCGCUUUCAGGGGGGACGAAGCUUCCGGGGUUAAUAGCCUACGGGGUGACGGUACUCCCAGAAGAAGGUCCGGCUAACUACGUGCCAGCCGCCGCCGUAA